rnacentral:rRNA from 1 species
GACGAACGCUGGCGGCGUGCUUAACACAUGCAAGUCGAACGGUGAAGCGCCUUCCUUUUUGGUGGGUGUGGAUGAGUGGCGAACGGGUGAGUAGCACGUGAGUAACCUGCCCCCUUCUUCUGGAUAACCGCAUGAAAGUGUGGCUAAUACGGGAUAUUCUGGGUCUGUCGCAUGAUGGGUCUGGGAAAGAUAUUGUUUCGGUGGGGGAUGGGCUCGCGGCCUAUCAGCUUGUUGGUGGGGUGAUGGCCUACCAAGGCGGUGACGGGUAGCCGGCCUGAGAGGGUGGACGGUCACACUGGGACUGAGACACGGCCCAGACUCCUACGGGAGGCAGCAGUGGGGAAUAGGGCACAAUGGGCGCAAGCCUGAUGCAGCGACGCCGCGUGAGGGAUGGAGGCCUUCGGGUUGUGAACCUCUUUCGCCAGUGAAGCAGGCCUGCCUCGUUUGUGGGUGGGUUGACGGUAGCUGGAGAAGAAGCGCCGGCUAACUACGUG